rnacentral:misc_RNA from 1 species
GUUUUUAUAGAUUAAGCUGAAAGCUGAAUUCUCUUUGACAUGCUGUUCAAUGAGCUCAUUGCUAGAACUUUUGGAUUUGUGUGACUAAUCAUUAUUAGAUUAGCAAGCUGGAUAGUUUUUUGAACUUGCGGGAUUCUUCAUAAUUUUGAUCUUUUUGCACACUUGAAUACAUAAUUAUUCAUGUUAACAAAUUUUUUUGAAUGGAUUACACCAAGGAUCAGCUA